rnacentral:misc_RNA from 1 species
GAUGAAGAACGCAGCGAAAUGCGAUAACUAAUGUGAAUUGCAGAAUUCAGUGAAUCAUCGAGUCUUUGAACGCACAUUGCGCCCCCUGGUAUUCCGGGGGGCAUGCCUGUCCGAGCGUCAUUGCUGCCCUCAAGCACGGCUUGUGUGUUGGGCUCCGUCCCCCCGGGGACGGGUCCGAAAGGCAGCGGCGGCACCGAGUCCGGUCCUCGAGCGUAUGGGGCUUUGUCACCCGCUCUGUAGGCCCGGCCGGCGCCAGCCGACAACCAAUCAUCCUUUUUUCAGGUUGACCUCGGAUCAGGUAGGGAUACCCACUGAACUUAAGCAUAUCAAUAAGCGGAGGA